rnacentral:rRNA from 1 species
AUGCAAGGAAUAAAGGAAGUAUUUGGUGCAGAAUAUCUUCAGAGACCUACACCAGCGGACAUUCAACGAUUGCUCCAAAUGGGGGAGGUGCAUGGCUUUCCAGGAAUGUUGGGAAGCCUCGACUGCAUGCACUGGGAAUGGAAGAAUUGCCCAGUUGCAUGGAAGGGUCAAUUCACUCGAGGAGACUAUGGAGUCUCUACGGUUAUGCUUGAGGCCGUUGCAUCACAAGACACCUGGAUAUGGCAUUCAUUUUUUGGGGUUGCUGGAUCAAACAAUGACCUAAACGUCUUAAACCAGUCACCACUGUUCACUGAGGUUUUGGAGGGAUGA